CAAAAACAUGACUCUGAUCGGCGUCCUCAUCUGGACUCUCCUCUGCUGCUGCUUCACAGAGUCCAGAGGCCAGAUCACAGUGACUCAGCCUGGAGCAGUGAGGUCUGCUCUGGGAGAGUCCGUCACCAUCAACUGUAAGACCAGUCCAGAGGUUUAUAAUGGGAACUAUUUACACUGGUACCAACAGAAAGAUGGAGAAACUCCUAAACUGCUCAUUUACUAUGCUAACAGCCGAGCAUCAGGGAUUCCAGAUCGUUUUACAGGCAGUGGAUCAAACACUGACUUCACUCUGACCAUCAGUGGAGUCCAGACUGAAGAUGCAGCAGUUUACUACUGUCAGAGUGUUCAUUAUAUCAACAGUCAGUGGUUGUUCACACAGUGAAAAAGAGUCGUACAAAAACCUCCCUCAGUCAGACUGAACAGAAACUGAACUGACUGCUGCAGCUGGAAGCUACAACAGAGACUGAUACACUUCACUGAGUACACACACACACACACACACACACACACACAAACUGUGUUAAAUAUAUUCCACACUUCACCUUCUCUUUCUGUGAUCAUACAUUGAGUUUAAUUGAAGGAGCAGACGUGACGAUUUAUGUCGAUCAACUGGCAGAAAUGAAAUUUAACAUUAAUAAUUCUCUUUAAAUUUGUGUACAAUCACCUGAAAUAAGAAUAAUUAUGUUUUUGUUGUCUUAUAUUGAACUCUUUAUAUCUCCAGAGGGAGCGGGUCCUCUUCCAUGAAAACCGCUAUGUUGCACAGCCACAUUUCUGCAGUGGCCCAGAAUGGACAAAACAGACACUGGCUCGAGACAGCACCUUUAAUGUUUGUCCCAAGUUUCACAGCCACCGUCAGGAUUCAUACACGCUUGCAAAUGAAAGGGUGAGACAAGAGGUAUUCAGCUGGUUGCAAUCUGAAACAUUAUCAUUGGAUGCCACAACAUCCUUCACACUGGACCUUUUACACAACGUUUACAA